rnacentral:rRNA from 1 species
CCUACGGGGGGCAGCAGUGGGGAAUAUUGGACAAUGGGCGAAAGCCUGAUCCAGCCAUGCCGCGUGUGCGAAGAAGGCCUUCGGGUUGUAAAGCACUUUCAGUGGGGAAGAAAGCCUUGGGGCUAAUACCCUCGAGGAAGGACAUCACCCACAGAAGAAGCACCGGCUAACUCCGUGCCAGCAGCCGCGGUAAUACGGAGGGUGCGAGCGUUAAUCGGCAUUACUGGGCGUAAAGCGCGCGUAGGCGGUCUGAUAAGCCGGUUGUGAAAGCCCCGGGCUCAACCUGGGAACGGCAUCCGGAACUGUCAGGCUAGAGUGCAGGAGAGGAAGGUAGAAUUCCCGGUGUAGCGGUGAAAUGCGUAGAGAUCGGGAGGAAUACCAGUGGCGAAGGCGGCCUUCUGGACUGACACUGACGCUGAGGUGCGAAAGCGUGGGUAGCAAACAGGAUUAGAUACCCCUGUAGUC